AGUGAACGCUGGCGGUAGGCCUAACACAUGCAAGUCGAACGGCAGCACAGUAAGAGCUUGCUCUUACGGGUGGCGCGUGGCGGACGGGUGCGGAAUACAUCGGAAUCUACUUUUUCGUGGGGGAUAACGUAGGGAAACUUACGCUAAUACCGCAUACGACCUACGGGUGAAAGCAGGGGAUCUUCGGACCUUGCGCGAUUGAAUGAGCCGAUGUCGGAUUAGCUAGUUGGCGGGGUAAAGGCCCACAAAGGCGACGAUCCGUAGCGGGUCUGAGAGGAUGAGCAGCCACACUGGAACUGAGACACGGUCCAGACUCCUGCGGGAGGCAGCAGUGGGGAAUAUUGGACAAUGGGCGCAAGCCUGAUCCAGCCAUACCGCGUGGGUGAAGAAGGCCUUCGGGUUGUAAAGCCCUUUUGUUGGGAAAGAAAAGCAGCAGGUUAAUACCCCGCUGUUCCGACGGUACCCAAAGAAUAAGCACCGGCUAACUUCGUG
rnacentral:rRNA from 1 species